CAAGAGCUGGGAGAACAGAGGAAGGAGCUUAGAAUGACGUGGAGAGAUGGACUGGACCUAAGAUGUCACUAAGAGCAGAUCAUGACAAUAAAUGAAUCAACAAGCACAAAAGAUGAGGAGAUAAACUAGUAAGUUAACCAUCCUGAAAACUCACCGAGGCCUCUCAACCUGGAAAAAAGGCCACUGAACAAAUAUGACGACUGUGAUCCUAGCACCUAAAAGGCAGAGGCAGGAGGAUGCUGCCAAUUCUUGGCCAGGCAACAAGACAACCUGCGUGUGCUGGUUCUCUCCCACCACCACGUAGAUCUCAGGAGUACAAUGGAGGAUCAAACCAAGAUAAAUCGGACUUUGUACCAAGUGCUUUGACUUUCUGAGCCAUCUUACUGCCCUGCUUUGGUGUUUUUAAUUGCUAUGGAAGACAACACUGUUACACAGAAGUGACCAACAGAACUGCCAACAUAUAUUAAAGUAUCUCCAAUAGC